rnacentral:rRNA from 1 species
UACAGAGGGUGCGAGCGUUGUCCGGAAUCACUGGGCGUAAAGGGCGCGUAGGCGGCCUGGCAAGUCUGUGGUGAAAGCUCGUGGCUCAACUGCGAGUCGGCCAUAGAUACUGCGAGGCUCGAGUCGACUAGAGGCAGAUGGAAUUCCCGGUGUAGCGGUGAAAUGCGUAGAGAUCGGGAAGAACAUCGGUGGCGAAAGCGCGCUACUGGACGGUAUCUGACACUGAGGGACGAAAGCUAGGGGAGCGAAUGGG